rnacentral:rRNA from 1 species
AUGUGGUGGGAGGAGGUGAGGAGGAGGGAACGCGGGGAGCUGCGCCCGCGGCGCUUCGAGGCCCUCGCCCGCUCGCGCCGCGCUGCCUCGCUCGCGCUCUCCAACCGCAAGGAGAUCGCGACCCCGCACCUCGGCGCCGUCAACUCCCUCCAGGUUGAUUUGACAGAGGGGAGGUACCUGCUCUCGGGGGCGUCGGACGGAUCGGCCGCCGUCUUCGAUCUCAAGGACGCGACGGAGUACGAGGCCGGGUUCAUAGCCAAGCACAGGAGCAUUCUGCUCGUGGACAGGCAGCAUCAGCAUGGCCACAAGUUCACCGUCUCCAAGGCCAUCUGGUAUCCUGUGGACACCGGGCUGUUCGUCACGGCCUCCUUCGAUAACUAUGUCAAAGUGUGGGAUACCAAUUCCAGUCAAGUGGUCAUGGAUUUUAAGAUGCCCGGAAAAGUGUACAGUGCUGCAAUGUCCCCAAUUGCAACAACGCAUAUGCUCAUCGCAACCGGAAGCGCAGACGUUCAGGUCCGUUUGUGUGAUAUUGCUUCCGGAGCCUUUACUCACACGUUGUCCGGUCAUCUUGAUGGUAUCAUGUCUUUGGAGUGGUCUACCUCAAGCGAGUGGAUCCUAAUGAGUGGUGGCUGCGACGGGGCGAUACGUUUUUGGGACAUAAGACGAGCUGGAUGCUUCCUUGUCCUUGAUCAGUUACGGUCUCAGCUAGGAAGACGGCCUCCCAUUAUUGAUAGCACCACGGACAACCAGCAUCAGAAGAACUUAGGACGUUCAUCUUCAUCAAAGAGUUACUCAGUUCAGCAGAGGACAGGCAAUCAUAAGAAGCAGUCCAAAGCACUACGCAAAAGUCUAACCAUGGUACGUGGACAUACGCAACAGAAAGUGCAUCCCGGUAUGUCAUCCAGUCAAAAUCAUAAAACAGCUCAUUAUGGUGCUGUUACAGGAUUAAGAACAACAACAGAUGGGAUGCACCUUCUUAGCUCAGGAUCUGAUUCUCGUUUAAGACUCUGGGAUAUCGAUUCAGGCUGCAAUACUUUGGUCAAUUUUGAAGCCAUGCGAUUGCAAACUAGCAAGCCACUACAAUUAGCUGUCACUGAUGAUCCAUCACUUGUUUUCAUUCCAUGCAUGUCAAGCAUCAAGGCAUACAAUACAUGGUCUGGUACGACAUUUCAAACAUUCCGUGGGCAUUAUGACCAUGUAAAUUGCUGCUACUAUAACUCACAAGACCAAGAACUCUAUACUGGUAGCAAUGAUCGACAAAUUCUUGUGUGGUCUCCAUCGACUCCUGCUUUGACUGAAAUGGAAGACGAUGACAAGCGGCAAGAGGGUUUUGCAGCUGAUGAGGAUAACUGGAGUGACUAA